GACGAACGCUGGCGGCGUGCUUAACACAUGCAAGUCGAACGGAAAGGCCCUGCUUGCAGGGUACUCGAGUGGCGAACGGGUGAGUAACACGUGGGUGAUCUGCCCUGCACUUCGGGAUAAGCUUGGGAAACUGGGUCUAAUACCGGAUAGGAACCAUCUUUAGUGUGGGGGUUGGAAAGUUUUUUCGGUGUAGGAUGAGCUCGCGGCCUAUCAGCUUGUUGGUGGGGUAAUGGCCUACCAAGGCGGCGACGGGUAGCCGGCCUGAGAGGGUGUACGGCCACAUUAGGACUGAGAUACGGCCCAGACUCCUACGGGAGGCAGCAGUGGGGAAUAUUGCACAAUGGGCGCAAGCCUGAUGCAGCGACGCCUCGUGGGGGAUGAAGGCCUUCGGGUUGUAAACUCCUUUCGCUAGGGACGAAGCGUUGUUGUGACGGUACCUAGAUAAGAAGCACCGGCUAACUACGUG
rnacentral:rRNA from 1 species